rnacentral:rRNA from 1 species
GACGAACGCUGGCGGCGUGCUUAACACAUGCAAGUCGAACGGAAAGGCCCUGCUUUUGUGGGGUGCUCGAGUGGCGAACGGGUGAGUAACACGUGAGUAACCUGCCAUUGACUUUGGGAUAACUUCAGGCAACUGGGGCUCAUACCGGGUAGGAGCUCCCGCUGCUUGGUGGGGGUUGGAAAGUUUCGGCGGUUGGGGAUGGACGCGCGGCCUAUCAGCUUGUUGGUGGGGUAGUGGCUUACCAAGGCUUUGACGGGUAGCCUGCCUGCGAGGGUCACCGGACACAUUGGAAUUGAGAUACGGCCCAGACUCCUACGGGAGGCAGCAGUGGGGAAUAGUGCACUAUGGGCGGAAGGCUGAUGCAGCAACGCCGCGUGCGGGAUGACGGCCUUCGGGUAGUAAACCGCUUUCGCCUGUGACGAAGCGUUAGUGACGGUAAUGGGUAAAGAAGCACCGGCUAACUACGUG